rnacentral:rRNA from 1 species
AGUAACGCGUGGGUAACCUGCCUCAUACAGGGGGAUAGCAGCUGGAAACGGCUGAUAAAACCGCAUAAGCGCACAGCAUCGCAUGAUGCAGUGUGAAAAACUCCGGUGGUAUGAGAUGGACCCGCGUCUGAUUAGCUGGUUGGUGAGGUAACGGCCCACCAAGGCGACGAUCAGUAGGGGUUCUGAGAGGAAGGUCCCCCACAUUGGAACUGAGACGCGGUCCAA